ACUUAAAUUGAAGAGUUUGAUCAUGGCUCAGAUUGAACGCUGGCGGCAGGCCUAACACAUGCAAGUCGAGCGGCAGCGGGAAAGUAGCUUGCUAC
rnacentral:rRNA from 1 species